AACGAACGCUGGCGGCAUGCCUAACACAUGCAAGUCGAACGAAUGCCUUCGGGUGAUAGUGGCGCACGGGUGCGUAACGCGUGGGAAUCUGCCCUUAGGUUCGGAAUAACAGCUGGAAACGGCGGCUAAUACCGGAUGAUAUCGCGAGAUCAAAGAUUUAUCGCCAGAGGAUGAACCCUCGGUGGAUUAGGUGGUGGGGGGGGUAAAGACCUACCAAGCCGACGACCCAUAGCUGGUCUGAGAGGAAGAGCAGCCACACUGGGACGGAGACACGGCCGAGAAUCUUACGCGAGGCAGGAGUGGGGGAUAGUGGACAACGGCGGGAAUGCUGAUCCAGCAAUGCCGGGUGAGCUAUGAAGUCCCUAGGGUAGUAAAGCUCUUUUACCCGGUAAGAUAAUGACUGUACCGGGAGAAUAAGCCCCGGCUAACUCCGUG
rnacentral:rRNA from 1 species